rnacentral:rRNA from 1 species
AGCUCCACGAGUGUAUUUGUACGUUGUUGUGGUUAAAAAGCUCGUAGUCGGAUUUCAAGCAGGUUUGUGCUUGCGCACGUCGAAAUGACGAGCCUUCACUGCCUGUUUUACCUGUGCAUAUUGGGCCGGCGCAAUUAACUUUGUGCCGCGUUCGAAUGUACACGUUCACUUUGAAUAACUCAUAAAGCUCAAAUUAGCCUAUUGGUUGAUUGCUUUUGCAUGGCACGAUGUAACAAGACUUGUUUUUGUUUCGUUGGUUUGAUAAAAACGAGUAAUGAUAAAUAGGAGCGGUUGGGGAAUUCAGUAUUUAGGGUGAAGCGGUGAAAUGCUGGGAUCCCCUAAAGACUAACUAAUGCGAAGGCUUUAUUCAAAGACGCCUCCAUUGAUCAAGAACGAAAGU